UGGGGAAUAUUGGACAAUGGGCGAAAGCCUGAUCCAGCAAUGCCGCGUGAGUGAUGAAGGCCUUAGGGUUGUAAAGCUCUUUUACCAGGGAUGAUAAUGACAGUACCUGGAGAAUAAGCUCCGGCUAACUCCGUGCCAGCAGCCGCGGUAAUACGGAGGGAGCUAGCGUUGUUCGGAAUUACUGGGCGUAAAGCGCACGUAGGCGGCGAUUCAAGUCAGAGGUGAAAGCCCGGGGCUCAACCCCGGAACUGCCUUUGAAACUAGAUUGCUAGAAUCCUGGAGAGGUGAGUGGAAUUCCGAGUGUAGAGGUGAAAUUCGUAGAUAUUCGGAAGAACACCAGUGGCGAAGGCGACUCACUGGACAGGUAUUGACGCUGAGGUGCGAAAGCGUGGGGAGCAAACAGG
rnacentral:rRNA from 1 species